ACAAACUUGGUCAUUUAGAGGAAGUAAAAGUCGUAACAAGGUUUCCGUAGGUGAACCUGCGGAAGGAUCAUUAUUGAAUAACCUCUUGAUGGGUUGUCGCUGGCCUCUUGAGGCAUGUGCACGCCUGUCUUGACUCCUAUUCAUCCACCUGUGCACCUUUUGUAGUUCUUUGUUCUCCAAUGGUCAAGAAAAAAGCAAGUCGUUUGUUCAGUUGAAACACACUGGAGUUGAAGACUGUCUUAUUGACUUUCUUCUACUUGACUUUGCAAAAUUGUGCCUUCUGGAGUAACAGAAGGACUAUGUCCUUUAUACAUAAACCAUGUAGUAUGUUGCCAGAAUGUAUUCAAUGGGCCUUUGUGCCUAUAAAAUCUUAUACAACUUUCAGCAACGGAUCUCUUGGCUCUCGCAUCGAUGAAGAACGCAGC
rnacentral:misc_RNA from 1 species